AUGCACUACCUUGGACUUCCGUUAUCCGUCAAGCGCCUCAAGCGAAUCCACUUCCAGUACCUUGAAGAUAAAAUUGCGGGCAAGCUCCCUCCCUGGCAGGGAAGACAUGUGGCCUCUGCUGGCUGUGUGGUUCUUGUUAAGGCCAUCCUAACUGCAAUUGCUAUCUACCAUCUCACGCCUCUCGACAUCCCGGUGGAGGUCCUCAAGAAAAUCGAUAGUAUUCGCCGUGCGUAUCUUUGGGCAGGCUCAGACAAGGUGUCUGGAGGAAAAUGCAAGGUUAACUGGGAGCUCGUCUGUAAGCCCAAGGACAAGGGUGGGCUCGGAGUGCUUAACCUGGAUAAGUUCUCCAAGGCUCUGCGGCUCCGAUGGCUAUGGUUUGAAUGGACUGACAAGAGCAAGCCAUGGAUUGGCAUGGGGAUG
rnacentral:rRNA from 1 species